rnacentral:lncRNA from 1 species
CGGAAAGGAAGCGCUGGGGGUAGGAGCAGCUGGGGAAGGCCGCAUAUUUCCUGUUGAUGAAAACUGUUUCUGAUCUGGAUUCCCCAGUUUCUUUGGGAGAGCAGAAUGCUUCCAGACUCAGAACUCCCUCUGGACACCUAAAUGGUGCCUGCCUCCCUCUGUCCGCUGGUGGUGCAGAAGAAGCUCAUUGUCCUUCUGCAGAGGAAGCAGAGCCUGCUGCCGCCCUGGACGACAGAGAUGAGCCUACUUCUCGUUCCUGCAUCUGUAAAACAACCAGUAUCCUCCACGACCUCUCCAGGGAGGCUGGAGAAGGAGCUGACAAUAGGAAAGAGGUGGUGGCAGCAGGGUGUGGAUGCCACAUCCCUGCCUGUGGAAUGAAGCCCCUUGGGCAGAAUACCCAGACAUGACAGUGCCACAUUCCUUUUUCUCUGGUAACUUCCUACAUCCCAUCAAGCACAGCUCAAGCUGUUCCAGCCGCAGCCUGACUUUAUUGCCAAGGACGGAAGAAACGCACUCUCACUGGAGGAUUUGUAUAGAAGUCCGUUUCCCUAAGUCACUCGCCACUCCCAGGAUCCCAUCCCUCUGACGAACCAUGGCUGGCUUCUGCCCUCCAGCCAGGCAGUCAAGAAGCAUUCACUAAGCGUUUAUGAGGCCAGGCAUUAUGCCAAGAUCUGGGGACGUGGAGGGGGCAAAAACAUGGCUCCUGUCCUCAUGAUGCUUACAUUUUAAUGGAAGAGACAGAGACACACAAGCACCUAUAAGCAUAUAAAAUAGAGAGAUGCAUAGAGAUAGUGAUAGAUAGAGACAGGGAUAGAUACAUAGAGAUAGAUAGUGAUAGAGAGAUAGUGAUAGUGAUAGAGACAGAGAUAGAUACAUAAAUAGUGAUAGAGUGAUAGAGAUAGAGACAGAGAUAGAUACAUAGAGAUAGAUAGUGACAGAGAGAUAGUGAUAGAGAUAGAGACAGGGAUAGAUACAUAGAUAUAGAUAGUGACAGAGAGAUAGUGAUAGUGAUAGAGACAGAGAUAGAUACAUAAAUAGUGAUAGAGUGAUAGAGAUAGAGACAGAGAUAGAUACAUAGAGAUAGAUAGUGAUAGAGAUAGAGACAUAGUGAUAGAGAUAGAUAGAGACAGGGAUAGAUACAUAGAGAUAGUGAUAGAGAGAUAGUGACAGUGAUAGAGACAGAGAUAGAUAUAUAAAUAGUGAUAGAGUGAUAGAGAUAGAGACAGAGAUAGAUACAUAGAGAUAGAGAGAUAGUGAUAGAGAUAGAUAAAUCAAGAUAGGGAGAUGGAGAGAGAGAGAAAGAUAGAUAGAUAGAGGAAUGUAUUUGGAAGGAAGGCAUUAGCCAUGGAGGGUUGGGAAGGAACUGCUAGACCUACCCAAGAACCAGGAAUCUUCUGUCACCUUAUC